rnacentral:tRNA from 1 species
CCCUGGGUGGCUCAGUUGGUUGAGUGUCCGACUUCGGCUCAGGUCAUGAUCUCACGUUUGUGGGUUCAAGCCCCACAUCAGGCU